GAUGAACGCUAGCUACAGGCUUAACACAUGCAAGUCGAGGGGUAACAAGAGAAAAGCUUGCUUUUCUUGUUGACGACCGGCGCACGGGUGAGUAACGCGUAUCCAACCUGCCUAUAACUAGGGAAUAACCUUGCGAAAGUAAGACUAAUGCCCUAUGACUUCCUUUGGCGGCAUCAAAACAGGAAUAAAGAUUUAUCGGUUAUAGAUGGGGAUGCGUCUGAUUAGCUUGUUGGCGGGGUAACGGCCCACCAAGGCAACGAUCAGUAGGGGUUCUGAGAGGAAGGUCCCCCACAUUGGAACUGAGACACGGUCCAAACUCCUACGGGAGGCAGCAGUGAGGAAUAUUGGUCAAUGGGCUGAAGACUGAACCAGCCAAGUAGCGUGCAGGAUGACGGCCCUAUGGGUUGUAAACUGCUUUUAUACAGGGAUAAAGUUAGCCACGUGUGGUUAUUUGCAGGUACUGUAUGAAUAAGGACCGGCUAAUUCCGUGCCAGCCGCCGCAGUAAGAC
rnacentral:rRNA from 1 species